CGGUGUUAUUUAAAAAACGUAUUGUUAAAUGUCAGAAAAAGGUGAAAAUGAGCAGCGAAAAUACUAAUCAAAUUUCCGGUGUGGAAUUUAACCAAGUGGACCAUGUACCAAAUAGCGGCAAAGCCAGAGAUCAACAAGAUGCGAUAUUGCCAGUCUACUUGAAUCCAAAUAAUUACGCAUCCAAAAAAACUUUAGCACAAGGAAUGCUCGAUUUGGCAUUGUUAUCAGCAAAUGCAGCACAGCUAACAUACGUAUUAUUCAAUUCGAAGCAAAACGAAUUUUAUACGCUGCUCCUGUGCAUGAUAAUUGUUUCCAUAGUUUUACAGGUUCUGCAAGCAAUAGUUUGUAUUAUUUUGGGUUUGAUUUUCGAUAUUAAUCAAGUCGAUCAUCAAAAAUCUGCUGAUAUAAUAAAUAAUGUUGCAUUGAGCAUUUCUGUUGUUGUUCUUGCAGUGAACGUAAUCAUAUCUGCAUUUGAUAUUCGAGCAAUGACUGAUAAUAAGUAGAUAGAACGCACAUCAGUUUUUUUUCGUUUCAUUUUAAUAUUUCUGGUGUAUAUGAUUUUUAUAAAUUUUAAUUUGAUAAAAUGUGUGUUUCUUGGCUAUGUGUUUAUUAAAAUUGAAGAAAAAUGAAUACAUGAUGUAGAUUGUACAUAGUAUGUACUACAUACUCCAUGUACAUGUGCCAUAAAUGGAUACAUUAUAAUCUAAUUUAUCAUUGAUUUAAAAUAUGGUGGAAGGAAAAUCAGGAAAAAGUCAAAGUGUAAAAGUGUGAACAAAGUGUAAUUUAAGUAGUAAAAACAAGACCUAAACACUGAACAAUAAGACAGAAUGAAAAAUGGUGCGUAAUAAAAUUAGUUUUUACAAUCGAAUUACCCGAAAUAAACUCCAGAGUUUUUUUUGUGCAAUUGGUUCAGACCUAGGAAUUCUAUGCAAUGAUCGAAGCUUUUCUACACUGGAAAAUAUGCGUCGGUUGCAAUACCAGGAAAAAAAACACAACAUUUUACUAUUCAUAUUUAUUUAUCACUUUAUUGACAAUCUUCGGCUCGUUUGAACUUUAACAACAAUGAAUGUGUCUACUCAUGACAUUUUCUGGCGCUGCUCACAUAUACAUGGUCUUGCAUUAGUAACUCAGUUUUCUUUUUUUCAGCUGAUAACAUAGAUUUUGUUAUUUACGCCAUUAUUGUCCACGUUUUCCCACUUCACGCGACACCACUCAGAAAAUAAAAAAAACAACAACAAGGAAAAGCAUAUCUUCUUCAUGUAUGAAUGGUGUAGCUCUGGUCAUAAAAUGUGAUGUUACGUUGACACAAUUUUCUUCAACGAGAGAAAGAGAAUGAACACAACAAAUGCAUAUAUUUUAUGGAUGGAACAUUCCUCGCACUCCGCUCAUUGCAAAAUUUACGUUUCGAUUUCAUAACAUAAACUAUUGCAUGCUCAUUUCUUUAUUUAAGUUUGUUAAAUAUAUUCAGAUUUUUUUCUCGGUAAGAUAGAACAAUAUUUCACAUCUGGUGCACGGUAUGAAAGAAAAAGAACAGCCGAUUUGAGCAAUUACAGAUACCAACCAUUUAGACCAUCCAUUCAUGUAAUAGUAUGACCAAAAAUAAAACAACAAACCAAUGUAUCAUACAAAAAGAGUGUAUUACUUUUUAAGAGGUAAUCAUGGU